rnacentral:tRNA from 1 species
GUCUCACCGCUCUGGACCAGUGCGCGAUAGAAGGAAAUCGCUAUCGUCGGGGGUUCGAGUCCCUCCGGGACCGCCA